GGACAGUGAGAGCCUCUCGAGUGAGGAGAUCUGAGGAUCGGGAUCGUUGGUGACACUCGUGUGCCAACCCCUCCAGCGGCAGGAGGAGAUCGCCAUCCCUGGAGAACCCCACCCCGAACCCCUGGGAACUCCUCCGGAAUGAUCAAUAAACCCUCAGCAGAG